AUUGGAGGUCUUCAACUUGACGUUAAAAUAAUAAUUAUCUUUCAGUAUAACUCAGUUUGGGUAGUAACCAGAACAACUAUACUGAUCACUGACAAUUCAUUGGUUCAGACGAACUCAUAGACUCACGUGUUUUUCGUUUAGUGGUAAAUAACGUCGAUAUUGUUGAAGAAAUGUUCUUGGUUACUAGGUAAACAGCCACUGUCUUGGGGCUCUCCAGUCUCUCUAGAAUCCAAAAGACGACAAGAUUAUGGAUGAAAAUAUAACUGUUGGGGAAUUAUCAGUUAGCCAUGAGACAGACAGAGCUUUUAGCUUUGCUGCUGCACCAAAGUCACUACGACAGAAUUUGAUCAGGCAGGGGAAGGGCAGUGAGGAAGCAGUCAGUUGUGCUGCCAUAGAAAUACAGAGGGUCUGGAGAGGAUAUAGAACAAGGU